AGAGAAAAGAUCUGAGAGAAAAGCCUGGGACUCUGCCACCCAGCUCCCUGGCCCCUGGGAGAAGCCAUGGCAGAUAUUUGGGAUGAGGCAGCAUGCUGGUCCCUCAGCAGCAUCCUUAUCACGUCAGCUGUGGUAAGUGAUAUUCUUGAUACUUGCUGUUUUGCCAGAAGUUAGAAUAUCGCUUUUCUCUUGAAUUGAUACAUGCUGCUUAGAAGCCACUGGGUUUCUUGGCAUGUCUAUUUAGAAUUACAGAUAACCCAGUAAAAAUUUUCAAACAUCAUGUAACAUGUAUUAUCAAUCCAGGCACGUGUAGAUAUUUGGACUCACGGAGACAGAGGAGUGUCAUGGAAAAAGCAUUGCAUCAGGAAUCAGGAGGCCUGGGGCCUAAUUGAAUCUUUGACUCUAAUGUGAUUUUAGCAAGGGGGCUUAACUGCACGGAGGCACUGUCUUCUCUUCAUGGGAGACCAUCCCCGAUCAUUGCUGCUAUCUCCAUAAAUCCCAAAGGGAAAUGAUACUCAGUCUAUUCCAGAGCUGCAAGACUUACAAUCUCCCGGUCAGGAUUUUUAGGCUCUAAUCCAUGUAAGAGAUCCUGGUCUUUUAGCAGAAAUAGAAAUGUUCUCAAGUAGGGCACGCUGUUAGAGAAUUUUUAAAAAUAAAUUGGGAAGUCAUUGGUAAUUUGUAGUAAGAAGAAAGACUUGUUUUAUAAAUCAAAAUGCCAGAGUCUAAAACGAGCAAGAAUUCCAAUUGCUGACUAUGAAUAUCUGAAUACAGCACUACUUUCUAAUUGCUUCACUUGCUACAGAGAGAAAUAAAACUGUGAGACUGUGAAGUGUAUAAAGGAUUCUACCGCUCUCCCGGGGCUUGGAGACCCACAGAUUGGAGAAAGUAAGUGAGUGUCUUUCUGACCAUUGAAUCCCUCACUCUCACUGCGAGUUAGAAAGCUCUAAGGACUUUAAUGAAACCAGUCUGCACGUCCUAAAAAGUACUGAAACAGCUGGAGAGACAGCGCCACCUCGUGUCCACCUAAAAAAACUCCCUGGCAAUCAUCUUUGCGGAAAUUGGCCCCAGUAACUUCCAUGAAAUAGGGCAAAGAAAAUAAAUCCAUCAAAGCUGACUGGAUAACAGAGAGAAAUGCCAGCUGAAAGCAUUUUUGACUGUUGAUGACUUCAAAAGCCAGGAAACUUAAUCCUAGCCUUAUGUUUCUUUCUCCGUGCCCAAAAGGCAGCCGAGCUCGUCACUAAACCAGCGGAGGUGAAACAGGUCACUAAGUUUAUAAUGUAGUUGGUUACUGGCUUUCAUUUUUUCUCUGCAUCCUGGCAGCAGGAUACAGGCAGCUUGUUAUAACUUAGAGGGGGCUCCUGGAAAGCCUGCUUGCUGGGUGUAUUUCUGUAGGCGUGGGCUCACU
rnacentral:lncRNA from 1 species